rnacentral:rRNA from 1 species
GACGUAGGUGGCGAACGUUAUCCGGAAUUAUUGGGCGUAAAGGGUGCGUAGGCGGCAUGAUAAGUUAUUGGCGGCAAAUCGAGGCUCAACCUCGUGGAAACUGAUAAUACUGUCUUGCUUGAGUGCAGAAGAGGUUAACGGAACUCCAUGUGGAGCGGUAAAAUGUGUAGAUAUAUGGAAGAACAUCAAGAACGGCGAAGGCAGUUAACUAGUCUGUUACUGACGUUGAGGCACGAAAGCGUGGGGAGCAAAAAGG